GAUGAACGCUGGCGGCGUGCCUAACACAUGCAAGUCGAGCGAUCUUCUUCGGAAGAGAGCGGCGGACGGGUGAGUAACGCGUGGGUAACCUGCCCUGUACACACGGAUAACAUACCGAAAGGUAUGCUAAUACGAGAUAAUAUACUUUUAUCGCAUGGUAGAAGUAUCAAAGCUCUGGCGGUACAGGAUGGACCCGCGUCCGAUUAGCUGGUUGGUAAGGUAACGGCUUACCAAGGCGACGAUCAGUAGCCGACCUGAGAGGGUGAUCGGCCACAUUGGAACGGAGACACGGUCCAAACUCCUACGGGAGGCAGCAGUGGGGAAUAUUGCACAAUGGGCGAAAGCUUGAUGCAGCAACGCCGCGUGAGCGAUGAAGGCCUUCGGGUCGUAAAGCUCUGUCCUCAAGGAAGAUAAUGACGGUACUUGAGGAGGAAGCCCCGGCUAACUACGUGCCAGCCGCCGCAGUAA
rnacentral:rRNA from 1 species